rnacentral:tRNA from 1 species
GGACCAGUAGCUCAAUUGGAUAGAGUAUCUGACUACGGAUCAGAAGGUUGGGGGUUCGACUCCUCCCUGGUUCA